rnacentral:rRNA from 1 species
CUUAAAAUAUUUAUUUAAGCAUUAAUUUAUAUGUAAUUUUUUGACAUUUUAGAUAUCUUAAAGGUUUAUAUAAUUAUAAUGUUGCAGUAGAUGAUAUUAUUUAUAUUAAGUAAUUUUAGAUUUAGUAAAUGUUGGAAGGGUUGGUUAAAGUUGUGCCAGCAUCCGCGGUUAUACAUCAAACUCAAAUAAAUACUUUUGGUUUUUAAAUACUAACAAUUUAAAUUUUCAUUAUCUAAUGUUUUUUAAGGUGAAAUAUUAAUAGUAUUAAAUGUGAAGUUUAUAGUUGGAUAUAGUGUGAAAUUGAAAUUUUAAACUAGGAUUAGAUACCCUAUUAUUUUUAUUAUAAAUUAUAGCAAGCCGGAGUAAUUUUAGUUAUGAUCUUAAAACUUAAAGAAUUUGGCGGUAUUACAAUCUAAGUAGAGGAAUCUGUUAUGUAAUCGAUAGUCCACGCUGAACCUUACUUAUAUUAAUUCUUGUAUAUCGCUGUUUAUGAAUAUAUUUUAAAAUAAUAUUCGGAAUAAAUUAGUAAUUAAGAUUUCAAGUCAAGGUGCAGUAAUAUAUAAGUUGAAUAAUGGAUUACAAUAAUUUUAAUUUAAAUGAAUAGUUUUUGUAAAAGAAUUUUGAAGGUGGAUUUAAUUGUAAUUUUUUAAAGAUUAUUUAAAUGAUUAAAGCUAUGUAAUAUGUACACAUCGCCCGUCACUCUCGUUAGUAAGAUGAGAAAAGUCGUAACAAAGUAGGUGUAUUGGAAAAUGUACCUAGGAUUAAUUUGUAAAAU